GUUGUUUGUUUUGUUUUUGUUUUCCCCUUUGCUGAGCUUGGAAAAGUGGUUGUGGAAUGGAUCGGUUUACAUUUCUUUUUGAGUAUAUACCAACUGUAUUAAGAGUUAAAUAUGAAAAAGGAUGAAAAUAAGUACGAAAGACAACAUCCGUUCUCAUUUCAAUUUCCUGGAAGGAAAGUGCGGUUGGGCAGAUGGUGCUUUUUUGUUUUACUAAACUGAAUGAUCAGAUGUAAAUAAUAUAACCAUAUAAACUAUAAAGAUCGUUGGAGGUGGCUGAAUUGUACCUUAGCUAUUUCUGUUCCCAUCCAUGGAGAACCAGGACACUGAGUUUCUGGUUAAACAGGUAGAGGAGAGUGGCUGGUAAUUUGGCAUCACGCUGGACCUAGGGCUUGAUUUGCUUCCACAAAAGAUCAACAGCAUCGAAGUCUCAUCCUGUCAUCCUAUCUCACGCCGUUACCUCAAACCAAAAAUGCAACUCGUAAUAAUUCUUCCUGGUUACCCUGUGGUCUCAUUUGGUUAAAAAUAAAAGUUUCUUUUCUCUGUCUGGGAACAAGACAGCAAUAUCAAGAAGAAGAGUUUAAUUAAAAACUGGAGCUAAUCUCAAGACCUCAUGCUUUGGAAUUUAUUUAUUUAUUUUUAAUGUCUGCGUAUGAAAGGCUCUUGUCCAGAAAAACCUUGCCUAGAAAGUCUGAAGUUUUCUGUGUAUCUGAAGGAGGCAGAGGUGGACUUAAUGCCUUUAACAAGCAAUUCACUUGAGGCUAGAUUCUGCUAUCCUAACUCAGUUUAUACCCAAAGGUGGCAAAUUUAAAUACUUCUUCUGUCGACAGGUUGCUCAUAAAUAGAUAUAAACAGACGGCAUUUACCUCCGAUGUAUUCAUUAUGGAAAAUUGUGCAAUAAGCCUUAUUGUUUGUUUAACUUCACUCGUCUUCCUUAUUCUAGAGUGCAAUCAUGAAUGUUUGAGUGAUGUAGAUGUUGGUUUUAGUUAGUUGUUUAUUGUUUUCGUGGUUUUUUUUUUUUAGACUCUUGCAUUUUUCUUUCUUUCUGCUUAUUUUUAAUUUAUUUCACAUUCACACACAUAAGCCUCAACUUUUCUUUCUGAGACAUGAAAGCUGGAAAAACUCUGUUCUGUGAGUGCGUGCAGAAAGUGAAAGAAAAACAUAAAUGGUAAAUAUCUAAUGUACAUUAUUCCAAAAGCUUAAUUUUUGAAUAUAAGUGUGAAAUAAGGUCAUCCCUUUAUUAAAAUUCACCUAGAUCUACGUUAAAGUAUCAAAACAGGAAUGGUAUCAGGAAAGAACAAAGCCCUCCUACAAAUGUGUUAGUUAUUAAUGUAUAAUUUCUCCUUUUAGAGUACAAUUCUUUCAGCAUAUCCAGCAAAUAAUUCAAAUAUUUGUAGGCCAUCAUAAAAGAUCUGAUAAUUUAAGCUAGUAAAGGAAAGCUGUAAUCUUGGAGAAAUCCCCUUUGGAAUAUCUACAGUGACCAUCUAUCAACAGAGAAAGACAGUUCCAGAGAUAAAACCCCUAAUGUUCAUCAGAGUGUAAUAAUUUUUGGACAUUACAAGUGCUAAUGUAGCUUUGCUAUUCCCAGCUAGUAAUUCUUGGGGAAUCUGUCAGCUAUGGAAAUCUGUGAGAUUAGCCCUGAAAUAUAUACUUGAUUGAUAACUAUACUGUUUCUAUUAUGCUAUGGUCCUGCUUUUUUUUUUUUUUUUUUUUUUUUUUUCGAUUUUUAAGUGUAGAGUGUAAUAUCUGGGGCUUCUGAAAGAAACUAAAGAUUUACUACAGCAUAGAAGUACCCUUCAUUCCUUUUCUUUCAUGCUUUCUAAUGCAGAAAUAAAUAUGCAUAAAUAAUGCAGAAAUGAAUAUUCAUAAACAUGAAACUUAACAUGAGGAACUUUAGAAAAACAUUUAAAAAUAUAUUUUGGUGUAUGUUGCAUUAUUCAAUUUUAACCUACCAUGGUACUUUCAGGUGACAGAUUGUCAUUAUGACUAUGCUUCCUUUUUCACUGGAGUCUAUCACUUCAGAGAGUUCCCACCCCCAUCUCAGCUUUGCUUUGCAAGCUUUUUUAUCUUUUCUACCUUGCUAGAGGCAUUAUUAGGGCAGUUCACCUUUGACCAAAUGGGCAGACGAACAUCCAUCCUCUGGAGCCAAUACUAGUGCUGUUUGGUAGAUGAGCUCUCAAAUGGUACUGAACUGUGACCUCUUCUUCUGUUCAAAGACUAAAUACAUAAACUUGAGCCUCCAUUGGUGCCAAGCCUGGGAACCUGAGUUGCUCCCUAAUCCCAGGUCUUGCAGCCAGCAGCACAAUGGGCAGCUCACCAUGCCAGUCAGCCAGCCUGAAAGAAUGUCUUUAUUCUCUCUUCCUCAACAAAUUGCUUAUUGUUUGGCCCACAGGCUGCUAGACCUUGUGAACUGUCCAAAACUUUAUUGCCUUUCUGUUAAACUUUCUUCUUUUUUCCCUUUGAUUCUGUUUAUAAAUGAAAUGAAUUUAUAUUUUCACUUCUUAGCAGUAUCAUUUUUAAAGAUGACUGUUACUUUUAAUCUUUUUUUUCAGAGUACAUCUGCCUUUUAGAAGCCUGCAGGAACCACAGAAAUAAUGCAAGCUCUGCAGGUUUAGGGUCCUUAGAAAGAAGGGUCUGGGAAAAUGCUAAAUGUUAUAAUACAGUAAAAUGAAGGCAAAUGAUUCAGGUGUUUCCAAAGAUACUGUUUCUCUGCUUUUGGCCUCAUCUUGACUGUGACUGCCCUGUGUCUAUUGUAUAAACAGUGAGUAUAGAACAUAACACUUCUCUUGGUACCCUACAAAAUGGAGUUGUUUAAGGGCAGUUUUAUUUAUUGAAAGUUAAAGCAGAUUGCCUAGUUUGUUAUUUAUCUGUUGAAAUAUUUCUGGAAGCCUCUUUUGUCUUCUGAAAAUGUGACUGCAGGACAAGCAUAAUGUAAGUUAGAGCUAGGCAGAGCACCUGCAGUUUAACAUUGAUAUUGCAAGGUUCAGCAGACUUACCCUAGGAGAAGGAAUGCUCCUCAUCUGUGAGCUCACCACAUGAAGAGAGGAACUGUGAUACAUAAAUAUUGCCAAAAUCAAUACAGGACUGAGGGCUCUUCUUUUCUCUCAUCUCAGUAACCUUUCAUGGAGAAAUGUCCACCUGCUAUCUGGAGAACCUGAAUAUACAGAAGGCCUAGUUAAAAUCAAUUUAAAUACUUAUGCACUUCUGCCUUCAUUUUUUGAACAUACUGUUUAACAAAGAUGUCAAACGUACAGAGUUUUCUGGAGCCAGAGAUGACCUAGGAAUUAUCCAGAUUCCUUGAAAGUUUAUGCAUGUGUGUUUAUAGGCAUAUAUAUAUAUAUAUAUAUAUAUAAAAUUUAAUACCCUUUCAAGUAUAAGAAUGGCAGCACAAGAGUGGAAGAAUUGCAAAACUAAAAUGUCCACAUUAAGCUGAUGCAUGGUACAUAUCAGAUGAUAUAUAUACUGCCUUAUUGUUCAGUUGUGACUCAGGGAGCUAAAUGCAUAAUUUAAGAUAUAUGUAUAGUCUAAGGGUCAAAUGCUGUCAGUUACAUGAGUGUAAAUCAUGAGCAAUUGCACCAAAGUGACUGGAGUUGCAGUACCCUGGAUUUACACAAGUGUUACUGAAAGCAGAAUGUGAGUCAAUAUGUGUCAUCGAUACAAUUGAGUUAGUGGUAUUGAGGGAAUUUUAUGGUAUGCAUGAACCUAAAUUCUUCACAUUUUUCAUUGAUUAAAAUAUUACUUUUAAUGCUUCUAUGCUUCUAUUUUUGUUACUGUUUUUAGAAGAAUAAGUGUCCCAAACUCUGAUUCUGUAAGUGGUAUUCCCACCAAAUUUUCCCAACCCCAGUUAAUAAUGAUAUGGCAAACAUUACAGAGCUGUAGAAGCGUACUUUCUUUACCUAUAUUUCAGGCCAAGAUCUUAAUUUAUAUAAAUGCAGAAUUCUGAACCUCAUGCAGCCUGUUUCUUGGGAAACAUCUGACUACACAGAGAUACAUCCUUACACUCACCUGCUUCCAUUAAUGAUUUCAUGCAUAGCAAUGAAGGGCUAGGAAACAAAAUUUAUUAGACAUAUAGGACAGCAGGAUUUUGAUGCAGGAGGGAGGGCUGUGUACCUGGCUGAAGGGAAUGGGUAUGGAGCAUUGGCAGCUGAAAGUAAAAUCAGCUGUGCUAUAAGAGCAUGGGACAGCUUUCUUAACUGAUUCUUCCUGGGUUUGUUAUUGAGGAGUGCAAGGGAAAGAAAAUAGCUUUGCACCAAAUCUAAGAUACAACUCUAUGGCACAAAUCAAGGAGGUAUAAAAACUGAUAAUCUAUUGGGGAAGUAGUAGAGUACCAGCCAGAUAUUCCUGGCUUUCAAUGACCUUAUUUUGCAUGGAGGAAGAAUAUAUGAUUUUUAGGUUUGAGAGGAGGUUUUUAAUUCUGAAAGGAGGUUAUGUGUUAAAUAUAUGGUAGCAGUCUCUUCAAUAAUAGAAGUCAAGGCCCUUACUUGUGGAGCCAGAAUCUGGUAUUCUAUCACAUAAAAUAAUGCCAUUAUUUCUUAACAUACUUUUAAAUUGAAUGCAUUAUUUUUAAAUCACAUUUUUAUGAUAUUCUUGAAUAUCUAGAAAGAUUAAAAAAGCCUGAAAGUAGAUAGUAGAUUCUCCAAUAUUCGUAUAAUCAAAAAUGGUUGAUUGAAUUUGGAACACACAGACAAAAAAAGAAAGCCAUUUAAGAUUACAGUGAUCAGCGGGGGGAGCUUAUCACUUCAAAAGAAACAGAAAAAUGUGUUUGAACUAAGAAGGCCUGAAUGGAUCUCAACAUCAUAAUGAUAAUUACAGUUAGGGUACAAUUUAUACUAAAAGUACUAUCAUCAAUUAUGAUUGGUUUUCACUGAAUAAAGAUCUAGGAAUUUUUUUCAAAAUGAAGACACAUUUGUCUAUGCUCAACACGUACAUGCACCCUUAGCCAGUUAGAGUACUGUGUAGGCAUAGAUUUGUCAGGAUUCUUUGAUCCCAAAAGGAUUCAUAGAAGAAAAAUUUCUCUUUCUGAGAAAUGAUCUCUCUAGAGACUGAUAGUGAUGAUACAAUAGGCUGGAGUUGCUAUUAUUAAAAAAAAAAAAUUACUACUUUUUCUGACUAUGUUUCUUUUUUCCCAGUGGGAUUCUGAUUCCAGACGUUCUACCAGCCUGACAUCCACUGGGAAAGUGAUGACACCAUAAAUUAUUUAGAGGUUUGAAAACCAUGAGAACUACUGUAUAUAACCAGAUUGGAUUGACUUUUUAACUCUUUUGAUUAAUAAUACAUAAAGCCUUGGAUAUGUGAAGUGGUUGAGUGCUAACCUGUUAACAAAAGGAGUAGCAGAGAUGAAUUCUAACAUUUCUCAUAAGUUAUUCUACUUAACACAUUGGCCAAACAAAACAAACAAAUGAAAUGCUCUGCCUUAGUCUUAUACCUUCAGUGCACCAUCAAUAUUUGAUGGCUACCUAAUGUCUCUAUAUAUCUGGCCACCAAUGAUAUUUUGAUCAUCUGGCUUACCAAUUUCAGUCUUAGCUUCUUUUUCCUGUAUUUGUGAAAACAUGCCACUAGAAAGUAGAAAAAGAGUUUCAAUAUCCUGGUUUCUUUUCUGACUUUCAUUUUAACAUUACUAACUGCUCAGAUGUGAAAAUGAUAUUUCAGCCUUCAAAAAAGCAAGUGAAAACCAGAAUUUCCUAGGUUUAUGGUAUUUUUUCUCUGCAGCAGGAUGGGAGUAGACAUUUGCACUUCUACAGAUAGAUUUCAUGUUCUGCAUUUCUGCUACUGACCCUGUUUUAAUUAUCCACUUGUUUCUUAAGUUUUGUUCUUUUAUAGGUUGCUUUGGGUGGAGCUUUCAGAGAAAAGAGACACUGUUAUUUCCUUCCUAUUGAAAUACAGAAGAUGAUGCUCAUGACAGCCUGCAUUUCUGAGCAACAGAAAAAGUGACAAGAGACGUCACUGUGCUUCUGGGUUGCCUGGCCCGUACUUCAGGAGAUAGGCUAUUCAGGGUGAUUUCAGAGCAACACAUUAAUUUACAAUAGAAAUAUAUAUGUAUAUAUAUAUUUCUGUGCAACUCUCUGGAUGUUUUUGUAUUAUCCCAAAUGACAUUUGACUUCUUUAGAUGUAGAAACAAUAUGAAACACAUUUCUUUACUCAUUCCUGUGCACUUUUCCCUUGCGAUUUCCCAUAGAAUUCAAUUUUCAACUUCUUUCUGCACAGGUACUGGGUAUCUAUUCAACCUGCUGCAUGUCCAGCCAAUAUUAAUCAAAUACUAAUACUAUCAGUUACAGAUACUAGUACAUUCUUUUUACCACCUGAUAUGCCCACAGAAUUCUCCUUCCUUGAUCCCUCUAAUGUCAGAAAUACCUGGAGGCCCAUGGCCCUCUUCUAAUUUUUUUAAACCUUGCAGACUAACCAUUCAUCCUCUCCCUGUCCAGUACCAAUGAUGCCUCACCAAUCAUUCUGGAAGCUAUAAGAUCUGUGUGAGAUUAAUCUAUGUUUAAAAGAAUGAAUAAUUCAAUUCAAAAGCAUGCUUUAAAAUUUUUGUUAGUCCAGGCUCCUCAAUUUGUUCAAUUAUUUUGUUGUAAAUUUUUAGUGAUGCCUUUACUGCAAUAUAUUUGAAUUUCCUACAAUAUGAGUAAAACGAGUCUCACCUCAGCUUUAAGAAAUGAGGACCAAUUUAAGAAAAUUAUAGCAGCCCACCAAUUACACCUGAACAAGGCCUUGCUUGUGACACCAAUAAUAAAUUAAAUUAUUCAGCAAUAUUUAUUAAAUGUUAAUGAGUACCAUCACCUGACUUCCACAAACAGAAGUACUGUGUGAAAUCUGUUGUCAGGUACUGUUUCCUUUUCUGAAAGGAAGUAUCAUCCAAUUUGCGUACAGAUUCUCUCCCCACUCCAAAAAGGAAGUAUAUCCAUAAAAAUAAUUAGAAUCUCUUCUAUAUAAAUGCAUAUGUCCCCCUUCUAUUCUUAUAUUCCCGCCAUAUCAAUAACAGUGUAGUCACAUUGAUUUCCUAGUUAUGAUUAAAUAUAGCACUCAAACAAUUUAUUCUCAUUCUUAAAAAAAUUCUAGAUGUGGUGUUAUUUUUGCAUAUUUUCUUGCUGCAUCUUAAGGUCUAACCGGGUGACUGAGAUCAGCAUCUGACUUUACCAGAAUAGCAUGGAUCUUAGUAUUUUUUGCAUAGUAUCUUUCAACAGCCAUAAUAAAUAAAUAAAUAAACAAACAAACAAACAAACCAACAUUUGUAUUUUUUUUCCAUCUGGGAUUAUGUGACAAAAUGAUCCCCUGCAUCUAAUCAAUUAUUUUUCUUCUCUAUCUUUUGCAUUUUCCUGCAAAACCAUUUGCAAGUAUAACAGAAAGAUUCUUCAGAGAUAAUCUGGUGAUUAUUUCAAAAUCAACCUCGGACGCUGCAGGCAUUAAAAGAUGAAAAUUGCCUGAAGUCCACUGUUGUACAACAGAUCUGUACCUCUGGACUCCUGUCCUGAGGUAAAAAUGCAAACCAGAGAGAUAUUUAGAAUCAUUCUGACAGUUCAUAAAAUUAAGCAGGGAUUAGAGAUUCUCUCGGAAAUAAAUAAAUAAAAGGUAUAAUGCUACAGGGCCAACACAAUGUUAAUCACAUCUCCUUGCAACAGGUAUUACUUCCCCAACACUUUGGGGAAGAAAAAGAAGUCAUAUAAUUAAGCCUGGCAUGUGUUUAGCACUGGUGAUUCCAAUUUAAAUAUCUGAGUGCAUGAAUUCAACAUGUUAAUACAUAUACAUAUGCAUACAUGCACAUACAUAACUAAUAUAUAAACUGCACAAUCAGUUUAAUUGUAUAGGUUUCUACAGAAACCUAUGCAGAAGCCUGUAUACAGAAACCAUUUGUAGGCUUCUACAGAAAUGUUGUGUAUCUUAAGCACCCUAUUUUCCUCUGAAUUUAAUGGAUUAGCCCUGAUGAUAGAAACACUUGAACAUAUUCUUAACAUUACAUAACAAGAGUGCCUUGCUGAUUUUAGGAUAACUUUCAAUCCACAUGAAUUUAAGCAAAAGUUUAACAGUCUACUGGGAAUGUACUCUGUGCUGCCAGUCAUUUAAAACACACAAUUUAUAAGAAAAGAAUUGAAACUACUGUAGCAGACAUAGAUGGUUUUGAUCCCUGUUGCAUCUGCAGCAGGUAAGCCCAAGAAAUUGCAAACAUGAUUAAAAUGAAUACACAGCAAAAAGUGCACAGUGACCACAGAAAUAUGUCUGGGGCAAGCAUGGACUUUUCCAGUCAGACUCCCAAAUUUCCCCACCCACCUUUCAAACUUCUCAGUAUGGUUCAAAAUGUCUCCUCAGCACUGGUUUGCUUAAAAGGAUGCCUUUCCUUUUCUUCCUGGAUGAGCAAACUCUAAUGUACUGCAUUUACACAGUGUAUAAAAUGACUCUCAGUGUAUUAGAUUAGUAUCAUGUUUCAAUAUCUUUGGAAAAUGUUCAAGUUAAAUUAACAUGUUUCUAACAAACUGAAAAGUCCAAAAUAGAACUAGCUGAAGUGGAUUAAAAGAUUUUUUUUUCUUUUUUCUUUUUUUUUUUUUUUUUAGUACAAAAAUAAAUUAAAAAUAACUGCCUAGAGAAUUUUUUCAAGAUAUAUUUUAUGCUCAAAUUACAGUCCCUUUAUUUAAGCUUUGAAUUUUACUCAACCUUCUGUUAAUGAUGUAGAUAUUUUUUGAUAAUAAAUAUUAGCAAAUUUCCUGAUUCAACAAAAGAAGGGAACAUUGUUUUACACAGUAUAUCUUAGACAUCGGAAAUGUAAUUAAUUUUCAUCUUUAAAAAUUUCUUAUGAAAAUUAAUUUCCAUCCCAUUUUAGUCCUGAAUGUUGACUGGAGCUAGGAUAAUACAUCACACAAAUGUUGAUUUAAAUAUUUAAACAAAUUCACUUACUUUGGAUUUACAUCCCCUUUGGGCUCUACUUUCCAUGAAUACUCUGAUAAAUAAGCUUACUGUAAGGACAAUCUGCUGGGAGGGCAAAUUAUAAACAAAAAUUGAAGAAUUCAUGUGGGAUAUGAAUUUUUGAAUUCUAAUCAUCAAUUGUUGCACUAGCAAUUAAAGCUGAUUGGAGGACAGUAAUUCCAUGCUACAUUAAUUUUCAAGACUGUGUCUUCAUGUCUAGUUUGUUUUGGUUUGCUUUUGUCUCAUUUUCUGUACAAAACACAAACUCUUUACACUACUAAAGUGAAAUUGCCUUUAGAAUCAUAGAAUAAUAGAAUCACAAGGUUGGAAAGGACCUACAAGAUCAUCUAGUCCAACCAUCCUCCCAUUACCCUUGCUACCACAAGCUGCUAAACCAUAUCUCGUAGUUUCUCAUCCAGAAGCCUCCUGAACACUGCGAGAGAUAACGACUCCACCACCUCCCUGGGCAGGCCAUUCCAGUGCCUGACCACAGUCUGAGAAAAAGUUUUUUACAUACAAGUAUGUCUGCGUAUUUCAGCCAAGGAUACAACAAAAAGAGAGAAGUCCUUUCUCAGACUGAAUCACAUUUUACUCAUUUUCAUCGAUGAUUUUUAUCUGUGAUGACUCAGUUAGCUGGAGGAGAAACCUGUUCCUAAGCUUUCUACAUCCAAGGCCGCUGCUCUAACCACAGAGCUGUCAGAAAAACCAAAACGUCCACUUCAUUCAUUUUCAUUCUGCAAAAAAUUUCCAUUCAUACAAAAUAGAUAUGUAGCUUUCAGAAUUCAGAGUGCUCCAAUUCAAAAUGGCUCCCGUCUAACACAUGAAUAUUAAGUAACCACAUCUCCUGAGGUAAGGCUGGAUUCCUGACCCAUCGCAGAUUUAUAGGGGAGCAGGGAAAAGUCCUGAAACAGCAUUUAUGGCAUUCAUCCCCCACCACUCCCAGUCUCAUUGAGUCAGGCCACCCAUGUGGCAGCUGAGACUGUUCCUUAAAUAAUCGUCUGGAAGAGCUAAGGAUGACUUUUCACAUUGAAACAUUUCUUUUCUGUAGAAGGAAGAAACUGAGAAGAGACAUGGGACCUGUGCUCUAUAAGAAAAGUGAUACCAGUCUGGGCUCCGCAACUGUCAGCCACCUUCCAUCCCUGCAAGGAGUCAAGGCUUGCACACAGCAGUUUCAGGGUGAAUCUGGAGACCAACAAGCUUCAAGGGUAAAGAAAGCAAGAGAAGUUUCACCUCCUGUCCCCACAAUUUCCUCUGUCUGGGUUGAGUUCCCAGAACAAAGUACAUCUUCAUCGUAGUCUCACAAUGAGAUAAUACCUUGAUGCAAACAGCUUGCUUUCUGCCACUGACUGUUGACACUAGCACAGCCUCAACCAAGUCAUGCUCAUGUCAGUUCGUUCCAACGCAAACAGUAUGAACUUUCACUUUGGAAAUGUUAUGGACUUUGGGGGAACAGUUUAUACAUUGCUAAGCCUAAUGUCAUAUAAGAGUCCAUAACUGCAAUUUAAAGGCCAUAUUAACGAAUAGGCUUGUAUAAAGGAAUUAACAGGGUGUGAAUUUGUGUAUGUGUUUCUGUACAAUUUGUUUGGUGUCUCUGCAUGCAAAGAAGGGCUUAAGCAAGACCUCCUCCUUUCUGAUUUUAUCUCUGAUUUGACAAGUCAUAGUGCUCUCAGUAAGCAGGACUGCAUUUUUGACAAAGUACCUGGCACAUGUUUAGUAAUUUUAGCCAGAAAUUACAUCAUAACAAGUUCUUCUUAUAGACAGCUGAUGAGUGAGCUUUGAUUUAUUUUUAUUUUUGUCCUCAGGAUGAUGGUUUUCUACUUAUGUCAGUGGCCAGUAGUAUAACAAAUCCUUCACCGUAAGUAUGUGUGCAUCAAUUUUUCAGCAAACACUGGCCUUUUGAGGUGAAAAGUUGCACUGUCACUCAUUUGCAAAUUGACUUCUCUCUUGGUUGCCAAAGCCAGUUAAUUUGCAAAUCAACAUUUUACAUGAGCCCUUUAAGCCAAUCCAAGUACUCAGUGGCUGCCAUUGCUAUGUAAUUAGUGUCUAAAGCACUUAAAAUUUAAUUAAUUUUAAAAAAUCAAAAAGAUCAGUGAAUUUGCUCUGUGCAUGGCCAGAGUCUCUUUUGCUGACUGAAUAGAAGAUCUCGAUUUAGAAAAUUACAGCAAGGCUCUGAUAUGGUUGGAAAGGAAUGAAGGAUAUGCACAUAGGCUGACGCAGUCAGAAACGUUAAUUUCACAUAUCUUCAGAAAAAUAAAACACAACCUUCUCAUAUUAAUUCACAAACUGCAUGACAGGUACUAUAAAAUACCAGCAAAUGAGAGUUAGAAGAGGAGGAAGUAGUCAGUGCAAUCAGAGUUGCAUUCCUUUAAACCAGGUUUUAUGCUCGUAGAAUGUAACCUGAAAUAGGUAGAAAUUUCAGCUUUUGUCUUGAAUAGGAUGAAAGAUGUGAAAACUUUGUGGUAAUUAUUUUGAUUUAUGAUGGAGACAGUAUCAGGAGAGAAGUUUGUUUUGGGUGAAAUAUUCAUCUUUUUUGGAGGUAACUUUCAAUUACAAAUUCUUCAUCCAUUUGGGUUAAUCUGGUCUGAAGAAGGAAGUUUCACUGAGGAAGAUGCCAACCAGAACUACAGAGAAGAUGUCUUCAUUGUUUGGAGCCUCUGGCUAUAGAACAGUUAGGUACUGACAAGACAAGGUAUGUGUAGAAAUAGGAUACAUUCUAGAAUGUAGUCUCUUUAAAAGAUAGGCAGGUGGUUGGAGAGAAAACAAAAACAAACAAACAAAUAAACAAUAUAAAUAACAGCAAAACCAGAGAGAUAAUACCCCAAAGAUUACCCCAAUAGAUUUAUUAUGUGUAGUAAAAUCUAUAUUGAUUUCUUCACAUUGGCUCUAUUAACCUUAUUUAAACUUUUCUAUCCUUUCAUGUCUUUUUGGUACUUUUCUUACAUUGGCACAUAAAUGGUUUUAUACUCAACUAAAUGUCUGUCAGACAAAAUUAUAUUUACAAAGAUUGUAGACUAGUCACUGAGGUGGUAGAACUCACACAAAGCUCAAAGGCCAUCUAAUAUUUCUGCUCUUCGUAAGUCUGAUGGACUUACUAGUUGUCUUUACUAACAUACUGAUAUGCAUAAUGAGGAAUCUUGGACAAACUCUGUGCAGAAUUCAGGGCAAAAUAUGCCCUUCUGUUGCUUUAUUUGCACUUCAUAUAUGUCCCUGAGGCAAGCUAGAGGGAGAACUUGCAUCACAAAUGUCACCAUCAUCUGUCCAGUAAUUCCCCAGCAAAUAUCUGGUUGUAUUACACUUGGGUGAGUAGAGUGUGAGCAAGCAAUUAUGGUAGAGCAGCUGACCCACUGCACACUCAUAGGCUAAUAUACCUCUUGAGAAGUAGCUAAUUUGCCUAUAGGUGUGGUUUCUGCCUUGUAGUCCCAUCCAUUAUUUUUAAAACUCUAGAAUUAUUUGUCAAACCUAAAUCCUCAACCCAAGUCAGAUGUAGAAUGGCACUAAGUGUGACUUAGAUAAACUCCAGAAAAAUCAAUUAAUAUAAAUAGUAUAAAAAAGCUACAAAUGGAAGCAAGUAGGGCCCAGGAUGAUUUUUCCGAUGGACAUUUUUGCUGUAACAUACAUAAUGCUAGCUGGCAAACAGCAAGUUUUGACACUGUUAUUUGUCCAUGGCUGCUCAGUGUGUAAAUCAGAAUGAUGCAUAUAGUCGACACAUCAGGGGUAUAUGGAAAACAAACUGCCCAAUCACUCUGGGCCUAACAACUUAGAGACCACAAUGAUAUACUGUAAGGUUGGUACUGCUGACUUCAAAAGCAGUAAAUCACACUACCGCCAGAAGGUAUUGACAAAAUUAAGCAACCAAGAUUGAACAGAAAACAAAAGCUUUUCUGCAUAUUUAGUUAUUUCAUAUUCAGAUCUUCUGAAACUUAUUUUAUACCCUUUUUUGGAUUUUAUGAAAUUACUUUAAUUCUGUAUGGGUAGUGGGUUUAUAAAGCAAUUAACAAUGCAGUCAUAAGGAUCUGUGGCUGUAAUCUGUACUUCCCCAAACUACAUUUCACCAAGUAUUAACUGUGAUACCAUAAAGAAAAUCCUAUAUUUUAUCAGAAUAAUGCAGGAGGUUGCUGAGUAAGUGUUGGUUCAUAUUAGUUAAUGCAUUUCAUAUAUAAUGUACAGUAAGGCAAAAAAUAAAAUGGGUUUAUUGGUCACACCUCUUUUAAAUGCUGUCAGAGUAGAAUACUUCUAAUUAGUUGUAAAGAAUAUCCUGUGCCUUAAGAACUCCUGUAAUUGGUGUUAGUGUGUACCCAUCUAAAGGUACAAAUCUGAGAUGCAAACUCUGGGAAAAUGUAAAUCCAGAUUUUGGCAGAGUGGCUUGAUCCUGUCUAACUUCAGUAUUCAAAACAACAAUUGGAGAGAAUAAUUAAUUCUGAGUUUGGCCCAGCGAAAACAUAAAGGCACAGUCUCAUAGUGCUUUUCUCUCUGCCCAGCGAGAAAUGAUAGUUAUAAGCUCUAGAAAAUAUUUCACAGGAGAUGUUGGUGUGCAUCUGACUUUCCUUCAUAUUUUAUCAGGGAUUUUUCACAUAAAGAAGCAAAAUUACUGCCCUUUGACUACUUGCUCCAACCAACAAACCACUACUUGCAGUAAGUGGGGUGUUUACACUAUAGCAAGUGAAUGAGUUUCUGCAAAUAAUGUCACCACCUCAAACAAGAAUGAGCAGGCUGCAAAGGUGGCUAAUGCAUUGCUAGGCAUUUAAAACUUCCUGACCUUUCUCCCUGGGGUUUAUAAAGUAUAAUAUGAUAGUUCCUGGCAAAAUAGGAAGGGGUAAUGCUAAAAAACCUAAGAAUAUAAAUUUGUUCAUUGUGGGUAAAAGAUAGGGUGCCCUGAAGUAACCAUGGACAUAAAAGAAAUUAAAACCAAACCUAGCUCUGUAGGAAGAAAGUAUUAUUACUAAUCACAAUUAGCCAAACAACAGUCACCUCUUAAACGCUGGGCAGUUUUCGCUUUCUCGCCCCCUUUUAUGCUCUAUGCUUUUCAGUGCACCCUGCUCCCAUUUACCAUGUCAUCCUCUCCCAAGAUAUUCUGUGUGUGCCUGUAUCACCAUUCCCAGUGUCCCUUGCUCUGCUAGCAUGGGUUUGAGUGGCAGUGAGAAAUCUGUAAGCAGGUGUUGUGGAAGUGAAGCGUGCCAUUUCGGCCAGUACAUUAGGUAAAGUAACGUUCCCUUGGGAACUCUAAUGCUUACAACUGCAUCAGCCCCAACUGUUCCUGCGAGAAAAGAAAGAGGCCAGUCCUGACCUGUUCUGACCAGAUGUUUUGGAAAUGUGCCCAUUUUUAGCAGAUAUAAUUGCUGUUAAUUUAUCAAAAGUGCAAUAGGUACUAACAAAGCACACUCUACUUACAAUCUAGCAAUAAAAUGUAAGAGACAAAAUAAGGGGUACAGAAGAGGUUAUGUUUGAACCACAGAAUCACAGAACUGUAGGGGCUAGAAGGGACCUCUAGAGAUCAUCGAGUCCAACCCCCCUGCAAAGCAGGCCUCCUACAGCAGGCUGCACAGGUGUAUAGUGCAUAGGACUUUAUUCAAUACUAGUUUAUGAUAAUUUCCAACAUAAUCCACUCUGUGUAAUAGAUAUGAUAUGACUGAUUAAUAAAUGGAUGCAGGGGAAAAAAAGAUAAUUUUUCAUUAUCCUUUGCCAAAAUUGUUCAGGAAUCUCUGUAGACUGCAGACUGCAUUCUGUAGACUACAUGUAAGAAAAGGGGAAGGAAACGUAACGAAAGCUACUGAGUUUUAACUGUGUGUCGGGUUCAUUUGGAAAGCUUACAUCUUAUUCUUUAAACUCUGGAAAGAGAGAAUCCAACCUGCACAAACAAAAGGAAAUGAUGGUCAUGUCCUUUUAUUAAUAUCCUUUGAAAUUACCGAAAUCAGAUUUGUCACAUGAAAAAAAAAACAUUUACAAAAAUAAUUAUUUUGUUUUCCUUCUUCCUCUUUCACUUACUUUACAGUAUCUGUCUUGUUCAGAGGGCUAAAGGGCAGCCCACCAAUUUUCUAAGUAUUUUCAUUUUCAGAACAUGAAUACCUUUUCUGAGCAUAAAUAUGUGGGUGCUGUCAUUCCCAUUAUCAGUUUGAAGUGCAGGGAUUUCAUUCAGUUCUGCAUGUCUCAAUAGGGUAAAGUAAUUUUUUUCUAUGAGGAUCAGUGCAAUUACAGUAAGCUUGCACUCCAGGAAACAAGGGGUUUUAUAGGCUUGAAUUUCUGGAUUUCUGAGGCAUUUAUUCAGCCUUUAUCUUUGCACUUAUUAACAAAAAUUUGCUGAUCGCCAAGAAGUAAACUAUCAGAAUACUCAGCUUAAAAUCAGAAUGUCUUUUUCCGAAAUUGAUAGUCUUGAUGAGUUACAAGAUUUUUUUUUCCACACACCACAAACACUUCAAUAAUAAGAAUUGUGUUACUAUCUUAUUCAUAAUGCAAAGGUGUCAUUUAAUAAUAAACUUGUUCAGCAGUAUGGUUUUGCAUUUGCUCUUUCUGACAAAUUAGAAAGACUAUGCAAUUUUCAUUCUUUUUUUUUUUUUUUUUAACUAUGUUAUUUGUAGAAAACAUUCCUUCUCAAGCAUAGCUUUCAUGGUAUAUAGUGCCUAUCUGUGCAUACAGAGCAUCCCAUAUGGUUACAGUGGGCCGGAGGGGUUGCUACUAGCCAUAUUUUAAAAAGCAGAUGUUACUAAUCUUCUAAGUAUUACACCCAAAUGAUGUCACUUCUGACUGACAACAGUUGGGCUCAUCAAUCCCCUUCAAUGUCCUUUUGCAUGUAACGUGUAAAGGGAAAGAAAAUUUUGCUCAGGAAGCAUGUCUCUAAAAGGGCAGAUCACUUUAUAUUACUACUGAACUGUUGAGCAGAAUGUCAGUUCCUGCAGGGGAAUGUAUAUAUCUGUUAAAGGCAAGAAGGUAAAGAAGUUUGCCUAGUAAUAGGACAUGCAGGGAAACUUUUAGGACAGCCAUUUCAGAGUCAGGCUACAAUGUGACAAGCUGAGGGUUUUAGCUCAAAGUGCCUGUCUGCAUCGUGCAAUACACAAAGGCAACAUUCUUAUGCAUGUACAGAAGAUUUCCUUACAGGAUUGCACACGAAGGUACUAGGUGCUUCUGUGAACAAAGCCAGUGUGAAUUCCAGAGUUGCUUUUCAGUUGAUUGCAUUUAACAGCAGUGAAUAAACAAAGAUGAAAGCUAGCACUGAAGAUUUGGCCACAAAUGGUACAGAUUUCACAGAAAUGAAUAAAUAAGGUUUAAUUUCUGUGACAAUUGCAGAGCUAUUUUUUUUCAUUUUCCAUAUAAAUCCUUCGCCUCCUAAAUCUCACAAAGUAGUGAGUAAUAGUAGUGAAGAGUAGUAAUAGUGGAUGUGCUUUGGUGUCUUUUCUGGAUUUCCAGAAAGUUAAACACAUACACACACAAAAAUAGGCUAAUAUAUCCAGACAGUGCAUCAGAAACCAGUUACUACACCAAUGAUAGUAAUAACACAUAUCAAACUCCUUCUCUUCUGCUAGCAAUAGGAUCCUUCUUCAGUUUACUUUGGCAGGAAUUUCUUCCUCAGAUUCCCUCCCAGUGCUCACUCUGUGUAUUUCCCAUCCUAUUUUUGCUGUUACAUAAUAUUUUUUCUUACAGAUACUAUACUUUGCCAACUCUGUCUCUCUCCAUAUACACUUCACUCAGACAUUUGUGUUAAUAAUAUUCUGCAGAGAUUAUUCUCAGGGUUUAAUUAUCCACUGGUUUAAAAAUAAUUUUAUUUGACCCAUUUUGAACAUGUGGCCACAUAGUUUUGCAUUUGGGAUAUGAAUAAGAAUAAGAGAGAAUGAAUAAGAGAACUUAAUUUACCUUAUAAGUACCACAUUAACAGCUAUAUACUUGUGUGGGUUUUCCUGAUUAUCUGGAUAUUCCUUUCUAUUUCCUUAUUAUUUUCAACUUCUUUAUGGAAGGUUUUGUUACCUGUACAGUAACAAGACUGUAAGAGUCACUCCUCCGAACAGAGAAGAUGAAAACAGCUCAUAUGUUUCCAACUUCAGAGCCCUUUUUAGCUAAAAUUUGACCUGAAAGCUUUAUUUCAGUAAUUUUUCAGGCCCGUACAGCCAGAACUUCCCUCUUAGUUUCUCUUAACAUUAAUCUUUUACAUUCAGGGACAAAAACUCUUACAAAAUAAUAAAAGCAAAGACAUUCCACACUUUUGUACAUUUCCAUUCAAUAAAAAAGAUAUCUAUUUUUCAGUUGUAUGCUGGUAUCUC
rnacentral:lncRNA from 1 species